rnacentral:lncRNA from 1 species
AAAUGUGCGUUGUCUCAAUUGAUUGGAAUCAUCAAGAUGAGUUCAAAACUCAAAUUUUAAGUGAUUUCAAGUAGAUUUAGGCUAUAUUUGAGUUAGAUUUCAGAAAUUGAGUUUUCUUAUGGUUAGUUGUUUGGAAUUGGUGUUGUCUCAAUUGCUUCAAAUCAUCAAGAUGAGUUUAAAACUUAAAUUUCAAGCGAUUUGGAGUAGAUUUAGGCUAUAUUUGAGUUAAAUUUCAGAGGAUGCCCAAGGAAGAAGAAGAAGAACACGUGAAGCUACAUUGAUAGGAUUCAUUUGUAUCAUAACGUAUAAUAUUGUAUAAAUAGUACUGUAUAAUAGUAUAUAAAUACAAAUGUACACUAUUAUAUCCAAGUUUGAUACAUUAUUUACAAGUAUUAGAAUAGUUUCACUCUGUGAAUAUACAUCUUUAUACACUUUUAUAUAAUUUUAUACAUAUUGUACCUCUUUAUAUAAAAGUGUAUAACAUUGUAUAAAAGUGUAUAAGCAUUCGCUGACGAAAUAUUUAUAAGAUUUUUACUUGCAAUCCUUGUAUAAAACUAGUCCAAAUUUCCGGCAAAUAACUUCAAACUUUGUAUACAACCUAUUUAGACUAUUUCUAAUAACUUCAAACAAUACUUACUCCAAAUUUCUCACAAAAUCAUAAUCGAAAUUUAACAAGAUUAGCAUUAAAGGAGAUAAGAUUUUAGGUUUCUCGCGUCUGUUUUUGCGUUUUGCAGUUUUGAUAGGUAUGUAUAAACCUGAAGAUAUAUAAAUUUUAAAAAGACAGAGAAGUAUUGGUUAUAGAAGAAUGCACGAAUGAGUAUUGACUGAAUGGGGAACUAAUUUUUCUUUUCAAUUUUAUUUACAUAUGAUUCUUUUUCACUAAUUAAAUUAAAUAUUUAUUGUGAAAAAUAAGAACAGAGCUACAAUAGGGUUAGGUCAGCGUAAAUGCGGUUGUUAUAAUUAGAAGGAAUGAAAAAAGAAAAGAUCUUAUUGAUAUUUGGCUACAUAUUUUCAAACUUAUACUUAUGGAGUACAUUAUUAUGUGAUUUUGUCUUAAAAAUACUUUUUAUCCAUCUACUAGGCUAAAAAUA